rnacentral:rRNA from 1 species
GAUGAACGCUGGCGGCGUGCUUAACACAUGCAAGUCGAACGGAAAGGCUCCUGCUUUCAGGGGUACUCGAGUGGCGAACGGGUGAGUACCACGUGGGUGAUCUGCCCUGCACUUCGGGAUAUUCCUGGGAAACUGGGUCUAAUCCCGGACAGGACGAUGGUUUGGAUGCCAUUGUGGAAAGCUUGUCGUUGUGGGGUAGGAUCGCGGCCUGUCAGCUUGUUGGUGGGGUAAUGGCAUACCAAGGCGACGACGGGGCGCCGACCUGAGAGGGAGUGCGGCCCAGUUGGGCCGGAGAUGCGGCACAGCCCACUAUGGGACGCAAGAGUGCAGAAUAGUAUACAAGGGACGCAAGCCUGCUGCAGCGACGCCGCGUGGGGGAUGACGGCAUUCGGGUAGGGAUGUACUGUCGCUAGCGACGAGGCGCUAGUGACGGUACCUGGAGAAGAAGCCCCGGCUAACUACGUG